rnacentral:lncRNA from 1 species
GGUGCCUUUUCUCCUUCAUUUUUUCUUCUGCCGCAUUCCUCUGGUUUGAUCCUCCGCAAACCAUUCGCCUCUUGCCCCGCCUGAUUUCUCCAGGAUUUUUAGUCUUUGUUUGAAAUGUCUUCCGGCACCUCCACCUCUAGUGGUUCUAGGAGUUCAUCCGCCUCAGCCCCCCAGAACCCCCAUACUGUAGACGAACCCACAUCUAGGGCUGGGCCUUGCCCGAUUUUUGUGUCG